GCUGCCUGACUCACUGUCGCUGUCCUCCACGGGGUCCUUCAGGUGGUCAUCGGCACUGCAGGAGUCCACGUCCUCCUCAGAUGACGUCUGGUCGUUUGGCGACGGCGGGUAAUUCUGCGUGGAAGGAAACGUUCAUCGUUCACAUCGAGGGCAACUGGGCGUCUACCUGUUGUUGAUGUUGUUCUGGAGAAGUUUGGAGGAUCUGAAUUCGUCAAUCUCUCCGAUGACGGUCACGCUCACGUCUCCGUCUCGACCCAGCAGCCACUUCACCCGUUUCCUGGAGUCUAGUGAGGAAAAAUUAAAAAAGAAGAAAAAAAA